rnacentral:rRNA from 1 species
UUAAGCGUGUAGGCUGGUUUUCCAGGCAAAUCCGGAAAAUCAAGGCUGAGGCGUGAUGACGAGGCACUACGGUGCUGAAGCAACAAAUGCCCUGCUUCCAGGAAAAGCCUCUAAGCAUCAGGUAACAUCAAAUCGUACCCCAAACCGACACAGGUGGUCAGGUAGAGAAUACCAAGGCGCUUGAGAGAACUCGGGUGAAGGAACUAGGCAAAAUGGUGCCGUAACUUCGGGAGAAGGCACGCUGAUAUGUAGGUGAAGCGACUUGCUCGUGGAGCUGAAAUCAGUCGAAGAUACCAGCUGGCUGCAACUGUUUAUUAAAAACACAGCACUGUGCAAACACGAAAGUGGACGUAUACGGUGUGACGCCUGCCCGGUGCCGGAAGGUUAAUUGAUGGGGUUAGCGCAAGCGAAGCUCUUGAUCGAAGCCCCGGUAAACGGCGGCCGUAACUAUAACGGUCCUAAGGUAGCGAAAUUCCUUGUCGGGUAAGUUCCGACCUGCACGAAUGGCGUAAUGAUGGCCAGGCUGUCUCCACCCGAGACUCAGUGAAAUUGAACUCGCUGUGAAGAUGCAGUGUACCCGCGGCAAGACGGAAAGACCCCGUGAACCUUUACUAUAGCUUGACACUGAACAUUGAGCCUUGAUGUGUAGGAUAGGUGGGAGGCUUUGAAGUGUGGACGCCAGUCUGCAUGGAGCCGACCUUGAAAUACCACCCUUUAAUGUUUGAUGUUCUAACGUUGACCCGUAAUCCGGGUUGCGGACAGUGUCUGGUGGGUAGUUUGACUGGGGCGGUCUCCUCCUAAAGAGUAACGGAGGAGCACGAAGGUUGGCUAAUCCUGGUCGGACAUCAGGAGGUUAGUGCAAUGGCAUAAGCCAGCUUGACUGCGAGCGUGACGGCGCGAGCAGGUGCGAAAGCAGGUCAUAGUGAUCCGGUGGUUCUGAAUGGAAGGGCCAUCGCUCAACGGAUAAAAGGUACUCCGGGGAUAACAGGCUGAUACCGCCCAAGAGUUCAUAUCGACGGCGGUGUUUGGCACCUCGAUGUCGGCUCAUCACAUCCUGGGGCUGAAGUAGGUCCCAAGGGUAUGGCUGUUCGCCAUUUAAAGUGGUACGCGAGCUGGGUUUAGAACGUCGUGAGACAGUUCGGUCCCUAUCUGCCGUGGGCGCUGGAGAACUGAGGGGGGCUGCUCCUAGUACGAGAGGACCGGAGUGGACGCAUCACUGGUGUUCGGGUUGUCAUGCCAAUGGCACUGCCCGGUAGCUAAAUGCGGAAGAGAUAAGUGCUGAAAGCAUCUAAGCACGAAACUUGCCCCGAGAUGAGUUCUCCCUGACUCCUUGAGAGUCCUGAAGGAACGUUGAAGACGACGACGUUGAUAGGCCGGGUGUGUAAGCG